GAGAUUUAAAAUGGUUGAGGUCUUAAACUGUAGUGAUUAAAAUAGUGGAAGAUAUAAAUUGUGAUAGAUAUAAGAGAGGGUGAGUAAAUUUGACCACAGAAAUAUGUUUCACUACAGUGUCUUGGGUUUAAAAUCAAAUAUAAGGUGGUCGCCAGGGAAAUAUUCCCAAUUAUUCAAAUACCCAAGUCAAUUGGGUUUUAUAGAGAUUUUAAUUAACAAUACAAUGAGUAAUCAAAGAAAGAGAGAGAGAGUAAGAAAAGAAUAAGUAUGAAGGGCCUCAAGCCAAUAUGGCCUAGACCUGAGUCUUAAAAGAGAAAUCAGUCAGUUUUUUAUAACUCACCAUAAGAUCUGUCUAAGUAAGGAUUUCUAAUGACACCAGGCCAGCAGCAUCUCAGCUGCUUUCACCAGCUCCCUCCUCCAUCUGAAUGUUUCAGAAUCAGUCUCCUCAGAAUGAGUCUCUAUGUUUCAGAAUGACUUUCCAGCUCUUCCCUGAGUUCUUAUUUUUAAGGGCAAAAUCUCCUCUGUCACCUCCCCUAAGUCCUUACAUCUACCAAUCACUGUAGAUGUUUCUAAAGGACCGCCCAUUCUUAGUCCACACCUAAGAAGGUGUGGAUUUUUGAGUAAUUCACACCAGGAAAGCUCUGAGUAAGUUUUCCAGUUCUUUAUUCCUUGUAAAUUCACAAGUUGCUUGACCUUUAUAGGUACUUAGCUUAAGAAAAGUAUGGGUUUAAGUACUUUUCAUUGUUCAGAAAAGAGUUUAUAACUUUAUCUUCCCCUAGGGCAGACCCAAGUAGGUAAAGUAGAAUUCUCACAUUCCUGCUUUAAGUAGAAUUCACUGCCCAAAUGGGGAAUGGUCUUAAUCCAAUCUUAUAAAGUAGGGUCUGGGAAAUUUUAAGGUUUACACUGCCUGGGGAGGUAGAAGGUUCACUUUACCAGAGGGAGGGACUGAAUGAUGCUUCAAGGACUUUGCACAGGGGGAUUUCUAGCUCAGGCCCAGGUUGGCCUCAAUGGUCUUAGAGUCUAUGAUUUUAUGAAAGUCUUUUGUGAACUUUCUGGCUAUAACAAGAACAACUAAUAUUAUGGUAUUCAUUUCAUGGUGCAAGGGACACGGUACUCAGGGGGUGAGGCCCAAGGUCCAGGACUGGAGCUUUGAGGUUCAUCUGGCUCCAGCAGGUUUCCAUAGUGAUGGAAUGGACCACUGGCUACAGGGCAGGUUUAUAGGAUCUUAGCAUUUUAAAUUAGACCUGGCUGAGUGUGGUAAUGCAGGUCUAUAGUCCCUGCCACUGGGAAAGCUGAUGCUAGUGGAUCUCUUGAGUGUGUAGAAGAGGCAUGAAGGAAGAGAGAAUUUUCAUGCAUGCAAGAUAAAAAGCUGGGGACCUGAUCUGCCAAUCAAGGUGAAAAUUCCAAAAUAGAAUGUUCCUAGGAAAGGCCAGUUGGAGCCUGGCCAGAGGAGAUGAACUGAGAGAGUUCUUCUCUGGUGUUUCUGACCAAAGAAGGGACUGGUUUUUCUGACCUAGGCAGAGAGAGACCUUUGUGGUUUUAGACAGUCUGGACUUGAAUUACUCAAGCAAAGAUUAUCUGAUUGGUUUAAAGAAGAAAAGAAUAUUAAACAGUUGUCCUCCACCUCUGACUGUCCCUGAGUCACAAUUGUGACAGGACUGACAUUUCCCAAACUCCUCCUAUCCCUCAUUAUAAAUUAGGGAAACCCUCAUCCCUCUCACCUCAUUUUACUUCAGUUCUCCAUCCAGUUGUUCCCAAUAAACCCCCUUACUUGAGAAAAGAAAAGUAAAGAAUAUUUCUCUGAAA